GACGAACGCUGGCGGUGUGCUUAACACAUGCAAGUCGAACGGUAAGGCCCUUUCGGGGGUACACGAGUGGCGAACGGGUGAGUAACACGUGAGUAACCUGCCCUCAUCUCUGGGAUAACAGUCGGAAACGGUUGCUAAUACUGGAUAUGAGCUUGCAAGGCAUCUUGUGGGUUGGAAAGAUUUUUUUUGGUUGGGGAUGGACUCGCGGCCUAUCAGCUUGUUGGUGAGGUAGUGGCUCACCAAGGCUUCGACGGGUAGCCGGCCUGAGAGGGCGGCCGGCCACAUUGGGACUGAGAUACGGCCCAAACUCCUACGGGAGGCAGCAAUGGGGAAUAUUGCACAAUGGACGGAAGUCUGAUGCAGCAACGCCGCGUGCGGGAUGACGGCCUUCGGGUUGUAAACCGCUUUCAAUUGUGACGAAGCUUUUUUGUGACGGUAGCAGUAGAAGAAGCACCGGCUAACUACGUG
rnacentral:rRNA from 1 species